CGGGUGAGUAAUGCAUAGGAAUCUGCCCGAUAGUGGGGGAUAACCUGGGGAAACCCAGGCUAAUACCGCAUACGUCCUACGGGAGAAAGCAGGGGAUCUUCGGACCUUGCGCUAUCGGAUGAGCCUAUGUCGGAUUAGCUAGUUGGUGAGGUAACGGCUCACCAAGGCCGCGAUCCGUAGCUUGGUCUGAGAGGAUGAUCAGCCACAUCGGGACUGAGACACGGCCCGAACUCCUACGGGAGGCAGCAGUGGGGAAUAUUGGACAAUGGGCGAAAGCCUGAUCCAGCCAUGCCGCGUGUGUGAAGAAGGCUUUCGGGUUGUAAAGCACUUUCAGUGGGGAAGAAAUCCUCGGGGCCAAUACCCUCGAGGGAGGACAUCACCCACAGAAGAAGCACCGGCUAACUCCGUGCCAGCAGCCGCGGUAAUACGGAGGGUGCGAGCGUUAAUCGGAAUUACUGGGCGUAAAGCGCGCGUAGGCGGCGUGAUAAGCCGGUUGUGAAAGCCCCGGGCUCAACCUGGGAACGGCAUCCGGAACUGUCAGGCUAGAGUGCAGGAGAGGAAGGUAGAAUUCCCGGUGUAGCGGUGAAAUGCGUAGAGAUCGGGAGGAAUACAGUGGA
rnacentral:rRNA from 1 species